CUGUUUUAUGUCAUAAAUAUCGUUUGACAUUUCUUUGACAUUCCUAAAUAUUGUAACGCAUGGUCUUCGCUGACGAUUCGUCUCAUACACAUGCCUUAUAUUUACCAUAUUUUUAUUUUGCAAAUGCAUAUGAUUCUGUAGCGAGUUCCACCUAACAACGAUCUUGUGAUGCAGUGCUCAUAUAGAAUGCAUGAGCGCCGAGCGGACAAAAUGCGAAGCCGUUGUAGCCUUGUUCCACGAACGAUAACUGUAGUCAUUGAGAUAUCAACUCGUGUUCAUGUUCGUAGUAACAGGGCCCGCGUCACCCGAGGGGGGCAGCGGGGCCAUGGCCUCACCACCUUUUCGCUAAAUAAAAAAAUAAGAUCAGCAUUAAUUAUUAGAAUAGAUAAACUUUUAGAUUACAACAAAUACAUUGAACCAAAGUACACAAGUACAUCAGCAAAACCCUUGACACGUUUGAGGCUAGAAGGGGUAAGAGGAAACGCUUUUCACAUUGGUGAUCCCGCUAGUUUAGAAUCAGUGGCACGAGCCCUGGGUAAUAAAGUAAAUCAUAAACGAAAUGAAGUUAAGGUCUUUACAGAAGGCUUUCACUCAGAUAAAUGAAACUGUUAUUUGUUACAUACUGACAAAACUCAAUAUCACGUGUUAUGUUUCAGCUAUUUUACUUUCGAUGCGUGCGCUGUGCUGUCUCAAAAACAAAUUUGCUCAUCUGAACAAAACCGUCAAAGUAAUGGAAAAUAUUGACUUUCAUCAAACGUACGAGAUUUGGCUGUUAUGUUCGGUGCCAGUGUCCCCCUUAAAUGAGUUUCAUUACAUGCGACAAAAUCAAGCUUACUUAGAAGUUAAAAGAUUGGUAAAAAGGUUCAGAUAGUUUAAUAAUGGUUUGAUUUGAACACACUCUCUAGCACCUUUGAGCCUUGAGCAGGCCAUUAGAGAAGAUUUUUUAUUACUAAACAUUUCCAUAAUAAAUUGAAAAUGGAAUUUAAAUGACAUUGACAAAAUUCAAGAAAUGGUUUGUUAAAAUAAUAUUUUUACAGUAGGACCCAUUGAGAAGUAAAAUUGGUUAAAAUAUCAGAUAUAAAGGGUUGCAUAAAAUUUUGUAUAGAAGAUUGAAUGUGUACAAUAGGACAAUCAAUAUACCGUUUCUAGCGAUAGAAGUAUAGUUUGAUUUUUAAAACUUUUGCUGAGUCACAAGAUCAAAAUUCAAAGGGUGAACAACGCAAACGCUGUUUUUUAAGGUAAUGCAUUUUUUAAGACUACAUGUAUCUAGCUAAGAGAUUGUGAUCGGGUUUAAAUCAUUUCAAUUUGUUUUAUCAUUGCACAAGAUGGAUGUAUUGCUGCAUAGAUUGGUUGUCACUGCACUGCACCUUGAAUUAGGGUCGAGUCUUGAGUUUGAAAAAUGAUGUCCGUUGCAUUGCUACAAAAUUUCUUGCUUUCGUUGAUGUUUCUUUUUUUUAAUAUGAAAACGCCCCUUCACCCUUUUCACUUUUCAAAUGCUUGCUACAAUCCUGUUUUGAGUUCCACACUUACUAUGUUCCUGAGAAUUGGUCUUUUUUAAAUUGGGUCGAAUUAUGACAGACCCUUGUCUUUGACUGUCAUUUAAUCUUGGAAUUUUACAAGCAUGAUCUCCCUGAUGCUUCUUUAUAAAAUUGGAGAGAAAUGCGUCUUUGAAAAGGUGCAAAUACCAUUUUCAAUGUCAUCAUAGUUUGUAAUGGCUCUCGGCAUGAGUAAAAUAACUCUAGCUGCCUUGGUGAGUAGCCGGAUAAGAGUAAAAAAUUUGGUAGGUGAUUAAUGGAGUUUAAAGACUUUUGCUCACAGUAGAUUUCGUUUAUUUUUUUAAUACUCAAUAAUCGCCUUGCGCUAAAUGAACAGUGGAUUUUCAAAAAGAGGUUAAUUUGAUUUGCGUAACGCCUCCUAAAUGAGUGGGUUUCAAAAUCUCUUUGAUUUCUAAUAAUCUUCUUUGUUUGGCUGAAUUGUUUUCUCAAUUCGGGCUCUGUCUGUGUGGGAAUAUUUGUCACGGCCUUCUCCGUUGAGCGUUUAAAACUGCUUGUCGAUGUCGUCGCGAUAUGUGAUGGAAGAUUUUGUGAUACCUACAGCUUGAGUUGUGGAAGAGCUAGUCUCUACUGAAUCCAAGGAUUGCCAGACGUCACAGGGGCUAUAGUACACGCUUGACACAGUGCACUCGGAGAGACUAAGAAAAAGUACUAUUCAGCACAGCAAUUUCAAACGACGUCGUACUGCAGAAAAUGGCGAGAAUAGGAUACGAAUUGCUGGCUUGGAUUUAUCUUUUCACUCUACCCUAUGUCAUAUUGGCGAAUCCGUAUCGAAAAGCUUUAGAGAAUGUAAGAUGUCAGUUGAACAGUUACCGAGUCACUGUGGAGCAGCCCAACUGUGUAAAGAAGUCGGUUUGGGUGAAUACAUGUGUUGGGGUUUGCAUCGCUGCUUCAGUGCCUUCCUACGAAGACUUCCAAAUGCACUCUACGUGCGAUUCCUGCAAAAUCAAAGAGUUCGUAGAAGUUGAUGUGGAGCUCAGUUGCCGUGGAAAUGACGGUCCAUAUACCAAAUUCCACAGAAUGAAAGCUGCAAAGUCUUGUAACUGUGUUAGAUGCAAAUAACAAACAUUUAUUUUAAGAUAAAUUUGAAGAUGAACUAUUCGCUGUUGUUGUAAAUUAUCAGACUUGUCAAAUUUAUUCAGGAUAACUGAAGACGGCACCAAAUUUCUAUCUAUUUUUUUUCUCAAUUUUGUCAUAUAGUUAACAUUUUA